rnacentral:rRNA from 1 species
UCCGGAAUUAUUGGGCGUAAAGAGGGAGCAGGCGGCAGCAAGGGUCUGUGGUGAAAGCCUGAAGCUUAACUUCAGUAAGCCAUAGAAACCAGGCAGCUAGAGUGCAGGAGAGGAUCGUGGAAUUCCAUGUGUAGCGGUGAAAUGCGUAGAUAUAUGGAGGAACACCAGUGGCGAAGGCGACGAUCUGGCCUGCAACUGACGCUCAGUCCCGAAAGCGUGGGGAGCAAAUAGGAUUAGAUACCCUAGUAGUCCACGCCGUAAACGAUGAGUACUAAGUGUUGGAUGUCAAAGUUCAGUGCUGCAGUUAACGCAAUAAGUACUCCGCCUGAGUAGUACGUUCGCAAGAAUGAAACUCAAAGGAAUUGACGGGGGCCCGCACAAGCGGUGGAGCAUGUGGUUUAAUUCGAAGCAACGCGAAGAACCUUACCAGGUCUUGACAUACUCAUAAAGGCUCCAGAGAUGGAGAGAUAGCUAUAUGAGAUACAGGUGGUGCAUGGUUGUCGUCAGCUCGUGUCGUGAGAUGUUGGGUUAAGUCCCGCAACGAGCGCAACCCUUAUCGUUAGUUACCAUCAUUAAGUUGGGGACUCUAGCGAGACUGCCAGUGACAAGCUGGAGGAAGGCGGGGAUGACGUCAAAUCAUCAUGCCCCUUAUGACCUGGGCUACACACGUGCUACAAUGGAUGGUGCAGAGGGAAGCGAAGCCGCGAGGUGAAGCAAAACCCAUAAAACCAUUCUCAGUUCGGAUUGUAGUCUGCAACUCGACUACAUGAAGUUGGAAUCGCUAGUAAUCGCGAAUCAGCAUGUCGCGGUGAAUACGUUCUCGGGCCUU